GCCCUCCUUCCAACAGCACAUACACUAAAAUUGGAACAAUACAGAGAUUAGCACGGCCCCUGCACAAGGAUGACAUACAAAUUCAUGAAUCAUUCCGUAUUUUU
rnacentral:snRNA from 1 species